CCUACGGGCGGCAGCAGUGAGGAAUAUUGGUCAAUGGACGCGAGUCUGAACCAGCCAUGCCGCGUGCGGGAGGACGGCACUGUGAGUUGUAAACCUCUUUUGUCAGGGGAUAAACACAGGUACGCGUCUCUGUAUGAGAGUAUCUGACGAAAAAGCAUCGGCUAACUCCGUGCCAGCAGCCGCGGUAAUACGGAGGAUUCGAGCGUUAUCCGGAUUUAUUGGGUUUAAAGGGUGCGUAGGCGGGCGGAUAAGUUAGAGGUGAAAUCCCGAGGCCCAACUCCGGAAGUGCCUUUGAUACUGUUCGGCUAGAGAGUAGGUGAGGUAGGCGGAAUGUAUGGUGUAGCGGUGAAAUGCUUAGAGAUCAUACAGAACACCGAUUGCGAAGGCAGCUUACCAAGCUACUUCUGACGUUGAGGCACGAAAGCGUGGGGAGCAAACAGGAUUAGAUACCCGAGUAGUC
rnacentral:rRNA from 1 species